rnacentral:lncRNA from 1 species
AGAAGAAGACUAGGUCUGUCAAGGCUAUACAGAAACUGUCCAACACUUGGACUUUGCACUGUUGCUGAAUGUGGUUAUUAGCUCCGAGAGUUUUUUUUUUAAUAUUUUGGGGUUUUCUUUAUAAAGGAUAGAUCAUCUACAAAUACUUCUUGCUUUUCAAUUUAGAUGAUGUUUCCUUUCCUGCCCAAUUUAUCUGGUUAAAACGUCUGAUACACUGUUGAAUAGAAGAGGCAAGGGCACAUGUUCAUGUCUUGUUCCUGAUAUUGGGAGAAAGCAUCCCGUUUUUCACCACAGAAACGGGGUUUCACCAUGUUAGCCAAGAUGGUCUCGAUCUCCUGACCUCGCGAUCCGCCCGCCUUGGCCUCCCAAAGUGCUGGGAUUAUGCAUUCUCUCUUUACAUCACAAUGACCAUGACCUUGGAUAUGGAGUCCACUCAAAAGUAAUCUGAACUAAUAAACAAAUUCUGCAAGGUUGAAGAAUACAAGGAGAUAUGGAAUCACCAAAGAAUACUGACACAGAAGAACCAAGUAGGAGAGUGUGCAAUUCCCAGUCUCAUAUCUCAUUACAAAACCAAACUAAACAAGGCAUUGGCACAAGAAUAGACAUACAGAUCAAUGGAACAGAACUGAGACCCCAGAAAUAAAACCAAGUGGUCAGCUGACUUUUUGAAAGCUUGCCAAGACCAUCAAAUGGGGAAAAAUUUUUUUAAUAUACGUUGCAGGGAUAAUUGGAUAUAAACAUCCAAAAGAAUGAACUUGGAUGCUUAUCUUGCACCAUAUGCAAAAAUAACUGAAAAUGAAUUCAAGGCUAUAACUAUUAACUCAGAAAAAAAAAAUGAGCUGCAUUUUCAUGA